UUUAAAAAUGCAUUAAGUUUAGACUCCAUAGAGCUAUUGAGUCAUCCAUAAUUUGAAAGGUCCAUAACGGUCGUUGAAUCCGUUAGAAAAUAGUGCCCGAAGCUCCAAAGCCACAGAGAACACAGUCACAAACUCAACAGUACACACAAACAGAGCCAUGGCGUGCAGCAGCAUGAUAACGCUCUCUCGCCCCACUCUCUCUCCCUCUUCUUCUUCUUCUUCAUCUUCUACUGCCCCUAGUUUUCUUCCUCCUAAUCCUCUCUGCCACGUCACCACUCUUCCCCGCUUCCGAUCCUUCAGAUCAAAAUCUCUCAGCUCCUCCAAGAAACAGCUCUCAGUUUCGGCUUCGGCUUCCCUACAAGCUCUGGUAUUCGACUGCGACGGCGUGAUCCUCGAGUCCGAGCACUUGCACCGCCAGGCCUACAACGAUGCCUUCGCUCAUUUCAAUGUCCGUUGCCCUUCUUCUUCUGAUGAAUCACAACAGCCUCUCAAUUGGGGCAUCGAUUUCUACGACCAGCUCCAGAAUCGCAUCGGAGGCGGCAAACCUAAAAUGCGAUGGUACUUUGGGGAGCACGGUUGGCCGAUUUCAACGAUAUUCGAGAAGCCUCCCGAGGCCGAUGAGGACAGAGUCAAGUUGAUCGACACUCUUCAGGAUUGGAAGACUGAAAUGUACAAAGAAAUCAUCAAAUCUGGAACUGUGGAACCUAGACCUGGGGUUUUGAGAUUGAUGGAUGAGGCCAAGGCUGCUGGUAAAAAACUAGCUGUUUGCUCUGCAGCGACUAAAAGUUCAGUUAUACUCUGUCUUGAAAACCUUAUAGGAAUUGAGCGCUUUCAAAGUCUUGAUUGUUUCCUGGCAGGUGAUGAUGUGAAGGAAAAGAAGCCUGAUCCUUCAAUUUAUCUGACAGCUUCCAAUAGGCUGGGCGUGUCACCAAGAGAUUGUUUGGUAGUGGAAGAUAGCGUUAUUGGACUACAGCCUUUUCAACCAUGAUGAAUCCUAGAGAAAACUAAAUUUGUAGGCUGCAACAAGAGCAGGGAUGUCAUGUGUGAUUACCUACACAUCUUCAACAGCUGAACAGGAUUUUAAAGAUGCAAUAGCCAUCUAUCCAGAUUUGAGUAAUUUGAGAUUGAAAGACCUGGAGUUAUUACUUCAAAAAGUGGUCCCUGCCAGUUAAAAACUGCGUCGAUUUUUUCUAAACUUCCAGAAGAGCCUGUGUAGGUUUUGUAGAAUUUUGGUUGUGAUUGAAGUUUACCCAUUCAUCUAUGGCAUUUUCAUUGAAGUUGAAAAAUCACCCUUUUGAUUUACUCUGGAAAAAAAAAGGGUGGGGGGGAGGGGGUGUUUCUAUAGAUGGUCCUUAUACAGAAUCACCAAAAAUGUAAAGUUUGUGAAAUGAUUUGAUUGAAAGGCAUUCCACCAAUAGAGCUCAUUCUCUCUCUUUAAAACGAUCAUUAAAUAUUGAAUGACACCGUUUUAUUCAUGA